AUUGAACGCUGGCGGCAGGCCUAACACAUGCAAGUCGAGCGGAUGAAGGGAGCUUGCUCCUGGAUUCAGCGGCGGACGGGUGAGUAAUGCCUAGGAAUCUGCCUGGUAGUGGGGGAUAACGUCCGGAAACGGGCGCUAAUACCGCAUACGUCCUGAGGGAGAAAGUGGGGGAUCUUCGGACCUCACGCUAUCAGAUGAGCCUAGGUCGGAUUAGCUAGUUGGUGGGGUAAAGGCCUACCAAGGCGACGAUCCGUAACUGGUCUGAGAGGAUGAUCAGUCACACUGGAACUGAGACACGGUCCAGACUCCUACGGGAGGCAGCAGUGGGGAAUAUUGGACAAUGGGCGAAAGCCUGAUCCAGCCAUGCCGCGUGUGUGAAGAAGGUCUUCGGAUUGUAAAGCACUUUAAGUUGGGAGGAAGGGCAGUAAGUUAAUAACUUGCUGUUUUGACGUUACCAACAGAAUAAGCUCCGGCUAACUUCGUG
rnacentral:rRNA from 1 species